rnacentral:rRNA from 1 species
GCUCAUGUCGAGGCAGCGGCCGCGGGAAUACGAAGGGGGCGAGCGUUGCUCGGAAUUACUGGGCGUAAAGCGCACGUGGGCGGCGUGCUAAGGCGGGGGUGAAAUCCUGGAGCUCAACUCCAGAACUGCCUUCGAUACUGGAGAGCUCGAGUCCGGUAGAGGUGAGUGGAACUGCGAGUGUAGAGGUGAAAUUCGUAGAUAUUCGCAAGAACACCAGUGGCGAAGGCGGCUCACUGGCCCGGUACUGACGCUGAGGUGCGAAAGCGUGGGGAGCAAACAGGAUUAGAUACCCUAGUAGUC